CUCCGUGUAGGCCCGCCUCGGUCUCGAUAUAUAAAGGCCCAUUGUUCGGCGCUCGGUCUAUCACUGUCCCCUCAGGAAGCCGGACGGAUCGCCCUCAGAGAGCGGCAUGAUGAAGUUCUACACGCUCCUCCUGCUUGCCGCUCUGAUCGCCGUUGCGACGGCCGGCUAUCACUACGGAGGUCACGGCGGGUUCGGGGGCGGUUAUGGCCACGGCGACCACGGCUACCACCACCCAGUGGGACGCAAGUUCUACUACCACACGCACAUCAACCACGGAUACGGGUACGGACACGGGCACUACGGCUGAUCACUUAAGACCUCGGAGGGCGUUACAAGAGGCCCCAUCAAAUGCUGCAGCUACGAACCUCUUGAGCAACUACGAAUUAAACAGAUUGUUCCUAUU